GACUCGAUGGUGGAUGGCCCGCAACCGCUUCUGGUGUUUGUAGCAAAUGAGUGUUAGCAGGAGGUGUCGGUUCGAUUCCGGCUCGAGUCA